rnacentral:tRNA from 1 species
GCCUCUGUGGUUCAGUGGUUGAGCGUUGGGCUAACGAUCCGGAGGUCCCGGGUUGAAAUCCCGGUUGGGACA